rnacentral:rRNA from 1 species
CUACGGGGCGCUGCAGUAAGGAAUAUUGCGCAAUGGAGGCAACUCUGACGCAGCCAUGCCGCGUGCAGGAAGAAGGCCUUAUGGGUCGUAAACUGCUUUUAUUUAGGAAUAAACCCCCGAACGUGUUCGGGGCUGAAGGUACUAAACGAAUAAGCACCGGCUAACUCCGUGCCAGCAGCCGCGGUAAUACGGAGGGUGCAAGCGUUAUCUGGUUUAUUGGGUUUAAGGGGUGCGCAGGCGGGCUAUUAAGUCAGUGGUGAAAUCCCGGGGCUCAACUCCGGGACUGCCAUUGAUACUGAUAGUCUUGAGUUUGGUUGAAGUGGGCGGAAUGUAGCAUGUAGCGGUGAUAUGCAUAGAUAUGCUACAGAACACCAAUCGCGAAGGCAGCUCACUAAGCCAAAACUGACGCUCAUGCACGAAAGCGUGGGGAUCAAACAGGAUUAGAUACCCCCGUAGUC